AUCUGUGGUGGUGGAAUUGUGGGCACAUCCGUUGCAUACCACCUCUCCAAGCUAGGAUGGAAGGAUAUAGUCUUACUGGAACAGGGCAGGCCGAAAGGCUGCUGGAAAUGUAUAAGAACCCUGGAACACGAUCCUGCUGCAUCUCAAAUCUGCUUUGGGUUUCAAGAGGGGGAAACCUUAAGCCACAAGGAUUGAGAUCCCCAGUCACUGACUGGAGUCACCCUGAAUAUGGAUAUUGGACUAUAACUUAUGGACUAUUUCUAAAAGGACUUUUGGCAACUACAAGCUCACCUCUGCUAUGCAUCUGAACCUCAAGAAUUGAAUUCAAGUCUGUCUGUGUAUUGAUCUUUUAACCAACACUCUCUCUUUUCUUUUUUAAUAAAUUUUAGCUUAGUUAAUAAGAA